GUGCUCGCUUUGGCAGCAUAUAUACUAAAAUUGGAACGAUACAGAGAAGAUUAGCAUGGCCCCUGCACAAGGAUGAAACACUGUGCGUCAUGGACUUUCCCUGGAGUU